rnacentral:rRNA from 1 species
CGAGAAGACCCUAUGGAGCUUUAGACACCAAAGAAGAUCCUGUCAAAUAACCCCUAAUUAAGGGCCUGAACUAAUGGAAUCCUUCCCUAAUGUCUUUGGUUGGGGCGACCAAGG